rnacentral:rRNA from 1 species
GCUCAAGUUUAUAAGGGCACACGGUGGAUGCCUUGGCACCAGGAACCGAAGAAGGACGUAGGAAUCUGCGAUAAGCCUCGGGGAGUCGAUAACCAGACUUUGAUCCGAGGAUUUCCGAAUGGGGAAACCCGGCUGGAGGCAAGUCCAGUCACUCCCAGCUGAACACAUAGGCUGGGUAGAGGGAACGUGGGGAAGUGAAACAUCUCAGUACCCACAGGAAGAGAAAGCAACCGCGAUUCCGUGAGUAGUGGCGAGCGAAAGCGGAAGAGGCCAAACCGAUCAUGUGUGAUAGCUGUCAGGCGUUGCAUGGUCGGUGUUGUGGGACCUCUCGGUCGGCUCUGACAGGCCGGCAAGGAGUCAGAAACGCGCGUCAUAGUCGAAGGACAUUGAAUGGUCCGGCACAGAGGGUGCCACCCCCGUAGACGAAAUGACGCGCACUCCUGAGGGUCAUCCCAAGUAGCACGGGGCCCGAGAAAUCCUGUGCGAAUCUGGCGGGACCACCCGCUAAGCCUAAAUAUUCCCUGGUGACCGAUAGCGGACAAGUACCGUGAGGGAAAGGUGAAAAGUACCCCGGGAGGGGAGUGAAAUAGAUCCUGAAACCGUGUGCCUACAAUCCGUCGGAGCCUCCUUGUGGGGUGACGGCGUGCCUUUUGAAGAAUGAGCCUGCGAGUUAGUGCUCAGUGGCAAGGUUAACCCGUGUGGGGAAGCCGUAGCGAAAGCGAGUCCGAACAGGGCGAAUGAGUCGCUGGGUCUAGACCCGAAGCGGAGUGAUCUACCCAUGGCCAGGUUGAAGCGACGGUAAGACGUCGUGGAGGACCGAACCCACUUAGGUUGAAAACUGAGGGGAUGAGCUGUGGGUAGGGGUGAAAGGCCAAUCAAACUCCGUGAUAGCUGGUUCUCCCCGAAAUGCAUUUAGGUGCAGCGUCACGUGUUUCUUACCGGAGGUAGAGCUACUGGAUAGCCGAUGGGCCUCACCAGGUUACUGACGUUAGCCAAACUCCGAAUGCCGGUAAGUGAGAACGUGGCAGUGAGACUAUGGGGGAUAAGCUCCAUUGUCGAGAGGGAAACAGCCCAGAUCACCAGCUAAGGUCCCUAAGCGUGUGCUAAGUGGAAAAGGAUGUGGAGUUGCAGUGACAACCAGGAGGUUGGCUUAGAAGCAGCCACCCUUUAAAGAGUGCGUAAUAGCCCACUGGUCAAGUGAUUCCGCGCCGACAAUGUAGCGGGGCUCAAGCACACCACCGAAGCUGUGGCAUUGACACACUGCCUGGCAUUUAUGUCCAAGCGUGUUGAUGGGUAGGGGAGCGUCGUGUGGCGAGCGAAGCGACGGUGUGAACCAGUCGUGGAUGCCACACGAGUGAGAAUGCAGGCAUGAGUAGCGAAUGACGGGUGAGAAACCCGUCCGCCGAAUAACCAAGGGUUCCAGGGUCAAGCUAAUCUGCCCUGGGUAAGUCGGGACCUAAGGCGAGGCCGACAGGCGUAGUCGAUGGACAUCCGGUUGAUAUUCCGGAACCGGCGAAGAACCGCCCAUGGCGAAUCUAGUGAUGCUAAGCGCCUGAAGCGCUCUCAAGGGACUUCGGUCCCAUUGAGCGUGGAACGCGCGACCCGAUCUAGUAGUAGCCAAGCAAUGGGGAGACGCAGGAAGGUAGCCUCCGCGUGGCGAUGGUUGUCCACGUCUAAAGGUGUAGGGAGUCAGGUAGGCAAAUCCGCCUGACAUGUUCCUGAGACCUGAUAGUGACCGCACAAGCGGGAAGCAGGGUGAUCCUAUGCUGCCGAGAAAAUCCUCUAGCGAGGUUCUAGCCGCCCGUACCCCAAACCGACUCAGGUGGUUAGGUAGAGAAUACCAAGGCGAUCGAGUGAAUCGUGGUUAAGGAAUUCGGCAAAAUGCCCCCGUAACUUCGGGAGAAGGGGGGCCCGGAUUCUGAAGUCUUUUACGGACUAGGAUGAUGGGCCGCAGAGACCAGGGAGAAGCGACUGUUUACUAAAAACACAGGUCCGUGCGAAGUCGCAAGACGAUGUAUACGGACUGACGCCUGCCCGGUGCUGGAAGGUUAAGAGGAAGGGUUAGGUCUUCGGGCCGAAGCUCAGAAUUUAAGCCCCAGUAAACGGCGGUGGUAACUAUAACCAUCCUAAGGUAGCGAAAUUCCUUGUCGGGUAAGUUCCGACCUGCACGAAUGGCGUAACGACUUCUCCACUGUCUCAACCGCGAACUCGGCGAAAUUGCACUACGAGUAAAGAUGCUCGUUACGCGCAGAAGGACGGAAAGACCCCGGGACCUUCACUAUAGCUUGUUAUUGGUGAUCGGGACGGCUUGUGUAGGAUAGGUGGGAGACGUUGAAGCGGACACGCCAGUGUUCGUGGAGUCAUCGUUGAAAUACCACUCUGGUCGUUUUGGUCAUCUAACCUCGGUCCGUGAUCCGGAUCAGGGACAGUGACUGGUGGGUAGUUUAACUGGGGCGGUUGCCUCCUAAAAUGUAACGGAGGCGCUCAAAGGUUCCCUCAGCCUGGUUGGCAAUCAGGUGGCGAGUGUAAGUACACAAGGGAGCUUGACUGCGAGACAGACAUGUCGAGCAGGGACGAAAGUCGGAACUAGUGACCCGACGGUGGCUUGUGGAAGCGCCGUCGCUCAACGGAUAAAAGGUACCCCGGGGAUAACAGGCUGAUCUUCCCCAAGAGUCCAUAUCGACGGGAUGGUUUGGCACCUCGAUGUCGGCUCGUCGCAUCCUGGGGGUGGAGUCUCUCCCAAGGGUUGGGCUGUUCGCCCAUUAAAGCGGCACGCGAGCUGGGUUUAGAACGUCGUGAGACAGUUCGGUCCCUAUCCUCUGUGCGCGUAGGAAACUUGAGAGAGGCUGACCCUAGUACGAGAGGACCGGGUUGGACGAACCUCUGGUGUGUGAGUUGUUCUGCCAAGGGCACCGCUCAUUAGCUACGUUCGGAAGUGAUAACCGCUGAAAGCAUCUAAGCGGGAAGCACGUCUCAAGAUGAGGUUUCCAUGGAGCUUGCUCCGAGAGGCUCCCAGUAGACUACUGGGUUGAUAGGCCAGAUGUGGAAGUGCAGCAAUGCAUGUAGCUGACUGGUACUAAUAAGCCGAUAACUUGAUACA